ACGCCUAACACAUGCAAGUCGAACGAAGUAGCAAUACUUAGUGGCAAACGGGUGAGUAAUAUGUGGGAAUCUACCUUUUGGUUUGGAAUAACACGAGGAAACUUGUGCUAAUACCGAAUAAGCCUUCACAGGGAAAGCUUUAUGCUCCAAUAGAUGAGCCCACACUUGAUUAGUUAGUUGGUGAGGUAAAGGCUCACCAAGACAAUGAUCAAUAGCUGAUUUGAGAGGAUGAUCAGCCACAUUGGGACUGAGACACGGCCCAAACUCCUACGGGAGGCAGCAGUGGGGAAUCUUGCACAAUGGGGGAAACCCUGAUGCAGCGAUGCCGCGUGAGUGAAGAAGGCCCUUGGGUUGUAAAGCUCUUUCGUCGGGGAAGAAAAUGACUGUACCCGAAUAAGAAGGUCCGGCUAACUUCGUGCCAGCAGCCGCGGUAAUACGAAGGGACCUAGCGUAGUUCGGAAUUACUGGGCUUAAAGAGUUCGUAGGUGGUUAAAAAAGUUGGUGGUGAAAUCCCAGAGCUUAACUCUGGAACUGCCAUCAAAACUUUUUAGCUAGAGUAUGAUAGAGGAAAGCAGAAUUUCUAGUGUAGAGGUGAAAUUCGUAGAUAUUAGAAAGAAUACCGAUUGCGAAGGCAGUUUUCUGGAUCAUUACUGACACUGAGGAACGAAAGCAUGGGUAGCGAAGAGGAUUAGAUACCCUCGUAGUCCAUGCCGUAAACGAUGUGUGCUAGACGUUGGAAAUUUAUUUUCAGUGUCGCAGCAAAAGCGUUAAGCACACCGCCUGGGGAGUACGACC
rnacentral:rRNA from 1 species